rnacentral:rRNA from 1 species
AUUGAACGCUGGCGGCAGGCCUAACACAUGCAAGUCGAGCGAGCGGCGGACGGGUGAGUAAUGUCUCUGCAACUGCCUGAUGGAGGGGGAUAACUCCUGGAGACGGUAGCUAAUACCCCAUACCAUCAGAUCUGCCCAGAUGGGAUUAGCUAGUAGGGGGGGUAACGGCUCACCCAGGCGCCGAUCCCUAUCUGGUCUGAGAGGAUGACCAGCCACACUGGAACUGAGACACGGUCCAGACUCCUACGGGAGGCAGCAGUGGGGAAUAUUGCACAAUGGGCGCAAGCCUGAUGCAGCCAUGCCGCGUGUGUGAAGAAGGCCUUCGGGUUGUAAAGCACUUUCAGCGGGGAGGCGUUACACGCAGAAGAAGCACCGGCUAACUCCGUGCCAGCAGCCGCGGUAAUUC